AUGGCAGACAUACAGCAGAUGUUUUACUGCUUCCUCGUAGAAGAAAAACACAGGAACUAUUUGAGAUUUUUAUGGUUCAAGAACAAUGAUGUAACAAGUGAAGUCAUAGACUACAGAAUGAAGGUCCAUGUGUUCGGGAACAGCCCGUCUCCAGCAGUGGCAAUUUAUGGGCUUAGAAGGGCUGUCAGAAAGGGUGCGCAAAGAUAUGGACAAGGCACAGUCAACUUUGUUGAGCGUCACUUUUAUGUCGAUGACGGUCUUUGUUCUGUCCCUACUGAUGCUGAAGCCAUUGACUUGCUGCGUAGGACUCAGGCUUCACUUGCUGAGUCCAACCUCAGGCUCCACAAGUUUGCAUCAAAUAGUCCGGCAGUCUUGGCAGCUUUCCCAAGUGAGGACUGUGUGGCAGCUGGAAAAGAGGUAGACCUCUGUGGGAAGGAGUCACCCAUCCAACGCAGCUUAGGCCUCCUGUGGGAGGUAGCUAUGGACACAUUCACCUUCUCUGUGUCAAUUGAUGUAAAACCGUUUACCCGUCGUGGAGUUCUCUCCAUGGUGAACAGUGUUUUUGAUCCCUUGGGUUUUUUAGCUCCUGUUGUAAUCCAAGGCAGAGCCCUUCUUAGAGAGCUGUAUUCUGAGGCUUCAGAGUGGGACACUCCGUUACCUGAAGAGAAAUUAGGCAAGUGGGAGGCUUGGCGAAACUCACUUCAAGAGUUGAAGCACUUCCAUAUUUCAAGGAUGUACACAGGCCUCUCUCUAACCAAGGCCGAACGGAUAGAACUCUGUGUGUUCUGUGAUGCUUCUACUAUGGCCAUUGGGGCUGUAGCCUAUUUGAAGACCAUCCAAGAAGACAUUGUUGACAUUGGAUUUGUCAUGGGGAAGUCUAAACUUGCUCCUCAAUCAGAGCCAACCAUACCGAGACUUGAACUAUGUGCUGCGGUUUUGGCUGUUGAAGUGGCCGAACUGAUUCAGGAUGAACUGGACUUGAAGCUAGAUUCCAUUAAGUUUUACACUGAUAGCAGAGUGGUCCUUGGAUACAUUCAUAACCAAUCCAGAUGGUUUUAUGUAUAUGUCCACAAUCGAGUCCAGCGUAUUCGCCAGACCACAAAUCCUGAACAGUGGCACUACGUACACACAGAGGACAAUCCAGCUGACAUUGCGUCAAGGUCUGUUCCAGCAUCACGUAUCACACAAACAAUGUGGUUCAGUGGACCUACCUUUUUGCGUAAGCUUUCCAGUCAACCAGAGCCUAUUCAGUCAUUCAGUUUAGUCUCACCAGAAUUGGAUGCGGAGAUUCGUCCAGAUGUGAAGAGUUAUGCCACCCAGCUACAGAAGAAAGGUCUCAGCAUAGAGCGUUUUGAGAGGUUCUCCACCUUUAACACUCUCCAGCCAGCCGUGGCAUUCUUAAUUCAUGUUGCAAGAUCUUACAAGUCCCCUAACAUGAUGGACAAGUGUAGAGGAUGGCAUAAAUGUGAGCUGCCUCGCUCUCCGGAUGAGCUUUCCCAAGCCAGAGAAGUCAUCAUUAGAGCCGUUCAGAGAAAAGCAUUUGGAAAGGAAUUUGAAACUCUAGAAAGAGACAAGCCAAUUCCCAUAAACAGCUGUCUACGUCGUCUCAACCCUAUCUUGCAGAAUGACCUAAUCUUUAUCGGAGGCCGUCUGAAAAACGCAGACGUAGAGAUUGACCAAAAGAACCCUGUAAUUCUCCCAAAAGACAACCAUGUUUCCUUGCUGCUCAUUAGACAUCAUCAUACCCAAGUAAAACAUCAGGGCCGCCAUUUAACAGAAGGCGCUGUGAGAGCUGCAGGACUCUGGAUUUUGGGAGGUAAAAGGCUCAUUAACUCAACUCUUCACAAAUGCGUGACCUGUCGUAGACUCAGAGGACGGAUGCAGGAGCAACUAAUGGCGGAUUUGCCACCAGAGCAUCUCAAGGCCUGCCCUCCCUUCACGUAUGUGGGGCUAGAUGUCUUCGGACCAUGGCACAUCACUACCAGACGUACAAGAGGAGUUCAGCCUGAGAGCAAGAGGUGGGCCAUAUUAUUCUGUUGUAUGAGCUCCAGGGCGGUUCACACUGAGGUGAUUGCCUCAAUGGACACUUCAAGCUGUAUCAAUGCCUUAAGGCGUUUCUUCGCCAUAAGAGGACCAGCCAAACAACUACGGUCAGAUUGUGGCACGAAUUUCAUAGGGGCCUGCAGAGAACUCGGGAUGAGCGCAGACCAACCAGACACUGCUGUGCAGAGGUACCUACACUGCUUUGCACAUGGGUGGUUCAUGGGAACGCCUCAUUGGAGUGGCUCGAAGGAUCCUGGAGUCAAUGCUUCUUGA
ensembl:lncRNA